AUGGACCAGCAUAGUGUUGUACUCCCUCGGUCCCAUAAUAUAAGAACGUUUUUUGACACUAGUUUUUAUCCACGAUUUUCUAGCGUUUUCCCCUGCUUUGGCAAUUCCACUAACUCUCCACAUUGUCUGGUCAAACAGAAGAAAGUUGACAGCAACAUCAAGCAUGAACAUCAAGAUAGAGUCCACAUGGAGAUUGAUAGUUUCCCUUUUUCAUUUAUUAGUUCAACAGUUUCUACUAAAGAACAUUUUUCUGUAACUUUGCUAUUUGUAUUUUCUUUUUGUCUAACUUUGACAUUUUUUUGUGUGGACUAA
rnacentral:rRNA from 1 species